rnacentral:rRNA from 1 species
UACGAAGGGGGCUAGCGUUGCUCGGAAUCACUGGGCGUAAAGGGCGCGUAGGCGGCCACCGCAAGUCGACUGUGAAAUCUCCGGGCUUAACCCGGAAAGGUCAGCCGAUACUGCGGGGCUAGAGUGCAGAAGGGGCAACUGGAAUUCUCGGUGUAGCGGUGAAAUGCGUAGAUAUCGAGAGGAACACCUGCGGCGAAGGCGGGUUGCUGGGCUGACACUGACGCUGAUGCGCGAAAGCCAGGGGAGCGAACGGG